GUCAGAGGAGGGAAAAGAGGAAGGUGCAGCUCUGCCAGCCCCAGGAGCACCAGCCCACCGGGGUAUUUCCCGGUAUCCCGGUGGGCCAGGCCGGCCUUGCUCUCUUGACCAGGAUUGUAUCACUUGGGCAUUCAUCUGGGACUAGCUGGGCUGCCAGAUUGUGAUGGAGGUGUUAACCAGUGGCCAGGUAAGAUGGACAGCGCUCAGGACAUUCAUAGCACAUGCCAAUUCUAAUAGUCGAGUCGGCAAUGGAG